GAUGAACGCUGGCGGCGUGCUUAAUACAUGCAAGUCUAUCGAACAGACGAGGUUCUUGAUCCUCUGACAUUAGCGGCGGACGGUUGAGUAACACGUGGAUAACCUACCUAUAAGACUGGGAUAACUUCGGGAAACCGGAGCUAAUACAGGAUAAUAUAUUGAACCGCAUGGUUUAAUAGUGAAAGACGGUUUUGCUGUCACUUGUAGAUGGUUACCCUCCACAUUAGCUAGUUGGUAAGCUAACCGCUUACAAAGUGAACGAGGAGUAGCCGACCUGAGAGAGUGUACGGACACAGUGGAACUGAGACACGGUCCAGACUCCUACGGAAGGCAGCAGUAGAGACUUUUCGGCAAUGGGCGUAAGGAUGACGGAACAAUGCCGCGUGAGUGAUGCAGGUCUUCGGAUCUUAAAACUCUGUUAUUAGGGAAGAACAAAUGUGUAAGUAACGAUACAAAUAUUGACGGUACCUGAUCAGAAAGCCACGGCUAAAUACGUG
rnacentral:rRNA from 1 species